UAAUUGUUAUUUUAAGGAAAUAAAAAUGGGUCAGGAACAAAGGAGUGGCUUAAAACUAGUGGGAGUGUAUUUGCAAUUGGGAGAAGAAACCACAGAACAAAAUGCUCAGGAGAAUACCCCUAAAUUAUUUAAGAACAAAAUAAAGUACUUGAAGCAGCAUGAGAUGAGACCAGAGAGAAAAGUGCCUGUGAGGUCCAACCAAUGCUUCCCUACAGCACUUUUGUACUGCUUGAACUGAUGCUUGGGUGAAGAUCUAAGCACAGUUAUUUUUAAAUUUUGAUCACUGGAUGGUAUGUUAUCUUUUCUAUACAAUAAAAAAUUGAUUUUAGCACUUAGAGAGGAUGUC
rnacentral:lncRNA from 1 species